UCCUGGCUCAGGACGAACGCUGGCGGCGUGCCUAAUACAUGCAAGUAGAACGCUGAGGACUGGUGCUUGCACUGGUCUAAGGAGUUGCGAACGGGUGAGUAACGCGUAGGUAACCUACCUCAUAGCGGGGGAUAACUAUUGGAAACGAUAGCUAAUACCGCAUGACAAUAGGGUACACAUGUACCCUAUUUAAAAGGGGCAAAUGCUUCACUAUGAGAUGGACCUGCGUUGUAUUAGCUAGUUGGUAAGGUAACGGCUUACCAAGGCGACGAUACAUAGCCGACCUGAGAGGGUGAUCGGCCACACUGGGACUGAGACACGGCCCAGACUCCUACGGGAGGCAGCAGUAGGGAAUCUUCGGCAAUGGGGGGAACCCUGACCGAGCAACGCCGCGUGAGUGAAGAAG
rnacentral:rRNA from 1 species